UGUUCAGUUCUCGUUUUGGUCUUAACGGAGCCACAUCUCCUUAAUAAUAUCGAAUAAAAAUUUUCAGUUUUUGUGCAGUAAAAAUGUUUAGACAAUUUUACACCAGUUUGGGCUACUUCUUAUAAGGGGGUUUACACGUUUCAUACAAAACACAUUGCUAAACCGGUGAGUGGGCGAUGACCAGCUGCCAUCUAUUUUAUUGCUUCAUGGAUUCAAAAAGGCAAAAAAUUGCAAUUGAAUUACCAAAUAUAAAAUGCAUUGGUAUUCAGGCUUAUUUCGACAAACUUACAAUCACACACCUGCCAAUCUCAUUCUUCUGCCGUCUGAUCUAAGCUAAUACAAGCUGCCAUUCAUUUGCUUUCAAGGAAUCAAAAGGGCAGAAUGUCGUCGUGAUUUGGGACCAUGACGACUUCGUUACACGACAAAACGUAAAAACACACACUCAUUCUAAGCUGCUACAAGCUUACAUGGAGCUGGGCGAUUCCAUUCCGAUUUUUUAAAGCAUCAGCAUAUUGAAUAUAUCGAUUUAUACAAUCGCACCUUUUUCGUACACAUUAAUAAUUGUUAGAAGCUACACUAUCCACUACUAUUAAUGUUAAGUAAAUAAACAAAUUGGGUCGCAGUGUGGCAGGGCUUUACUUUAACUACAUUUAAA
rnacentral:sRNA from 13 species